GCGGAAGUGCUUCUCGGAAACAAAGGACUAGCAGCUAGCGGACGGAUAGUUACGCUCAGGCAUCGAAAUGCUGAAGUUAUGCACGUUAAUUGAUAAGCAGUUGUUGCGUUACGUCUACACUGAAUAACACGAUCUUCACCUUUAAACGUGUAAGCGGUUCUUUUCUUCACGUGUGAAUAGAGACCGGAAAUCCCCACACACAAAGGCUAUGGGUACAGCGAGGUGCUCACCUAAAACUGUGUCGUCAGAACUGGAGAGCAGUAAGCUGCGGAAAGCCACUUCUAUCAUAACCGCAAAUGCUUUGUCGUUAAAACAUCCCGAAUCUGCCAAGUAUUGAAGACCUUCUUGCACAAACUCCGACAGCU